rnacentral:rRNA from 1 species
CCCUUAGAUGUCCGGGGCCGCACGCGCGCUACACUGAAGGAAUCAGCGUGGCUUUCUCCCUGACUCGAAAGGGUUGGGAAACCCGUUGAAUCUCCUUCGUGAUAGGGAUUGGGGCUUGAAAUUGUUCCCCAUGAACGAGGAAUUCCCAGUAAGCGCGAGUCAUAAGCUCGCGUUGAUUACGUCCCUGCCCUUUGUACACACCGCCCGUCGCUACUACCGAUUGAACGGUUUAGUGAGGGCCUCGGAUUGGUCUCGGCCCGCUCUUUACCGGGCGGCGCCGUUGGUCGAGAAGACGCUCGAACUUGAUCGUUUAGAGGAAGUAAAAGUCGUAACA